AGCCACAACAAAAUCUGGAGAAAAGCCCCACAAAGGCAGCAUGGUAGCCCCUUCCCUUCCAGAGGCAGCACUACGUGGUAUGGAGCUGUCACCUGCCAGGCAGAAGGAGAGGUCUGGUGCAGCACCUUACCCUAGAGUCACCAGUGGUCUCACAUGGAAAAGAGGCACCAAGAAGCCUUGAAUCCCAAGUAAAAAAUCACCUGGAGAUCGAAUCUUCUUAGAUAUCAGCAAGUUCAGGAGUAAAACUCCUGAAAUUGAUAAGCAACCAGGCAUUUCUUGGCUUUUAUGCCUUUGGAACAAUCUGUUCAACCUUUCUAGGUCUGCUGCCACUGUGCCUUGAGGACAACAGGCUAUGCCUUUCCACUGGGUAAAUCUCAUCGGGGCAGAAGCAGCAAAGGAAGAGCUGGGAUGGUUCCAGAUAGCAGUAAAUUUGUUGGAAAAUGAGGCUUUUGGAAGUGCGUGUGUGAAGUGGAGAGCAGGAAAUCCAGUUUGCAUCUGACAAAUGCAGAUUUGCCCCCACAUCUCCAGAAAGGAGGGCAGCCUCCAUUGGCUGAACGGUUCCAGUCUGAUGCGCUCUGUGCUGAGCUUCCUGGCUUCUUUUCGAUUUUUUGCCUAUAAAUCAGCCCACAAUCGAGAAGGGAAAACAAGAAGAUAAACAAUCUAAAGAUGCAAAACAAAUAAUUCCAGGUCAAAAACUAUCUGGUUGAUUGAAAUGUUCUGACAAAACAAACAAACAAACAAACAAAAACGAUCCCCUUCUCUAUACUGUUCUUUCCCCCUUAAUUUUCCUGCUGGCCCUUAAAACAAAAAUAAAAUGAUCAGACUGGUU
rnacentral:lncRNA from 7 species